rnacentral:rRNA from 1 species
CAGUCGCCGCGGUAAUACGAAGGGUGCAAGCGUUACUCGGAAUUACUGGGCGUAAAGCGUGCGUAGGCGGCUUUUUAAGUCAGAGGUGAAAGCCCGGGGCUCAACCCCGGAAUUGCCUUUGAAACUGGAAAGCUAGAAUCUUGGAGAGGUCAGUGGAAUUCCGAGUGUAGAGGUGAAAUUCGUAGAUAUUCGGAAGAACACCAGUGGCGAAGGCGACUGACUGGACAAGUAUUGACGCUGAGGUGCGAAAGCGUGGGGAGCAAACAGGAUUAGAUACCCCCGUAGUCCCUGUCUCUUAUAC